GUGGCAUAGCUGCAGGUGAGGGCGUUGUAGACGCUGCAUGUGAUUCUUCUAAUCCGGGUUGUCGGAGGUUCGAAUCCUCCCGGGC
rnacentral:tRNA from 1 species